rnacentral:rRNA from 1 species
GCUGGCGGCGUGCAUGAGACAUGCAAGUCGAACGGGUGACUCGGGCUUGCUCGAGUCGCUAGUGGCGGACGGCUGAGUAACGCGUGGGUGACCUGCCCCGAAGUGGGGAAUAACUGCCCGAAAGGGUGGCUAAUACCGCAUGUGGUGGUGCUUUCGAUUGCACCAGUAAAGCCGCAAGGCGCUUCGGGAGGGGCCUGCGUCCGAUUAGCUCGUUGGUGGGGUAACGGCUCACCAAGGCGACGAUCGGUAGGUGGUCUGAGAGGACGAUCACCCAGACUGGGACUGAGACACGGCCCAGACUCCUACGGGAGGCAGCAGUCGGGAAUUUUGCGCAAUGGACGAAAGUCUGACGCAGCAACGCCGCGUGAGGGAUGAAGGCCUUCGGGUUGUAAACCUCUUUUCUCAGGGACGAUGAUGACGGUACCUGAGGAAGAAGCCACGGCUAACUACGUGCCAGCAGCCGCGGUAAUACGUAGGUGGCAAGCGUUGUCCGGAUUUACUGGGCGUAAAGAGCGCGCAUGCGGUCGUGCAAGUCGCGUGUGAAAGCCCCCGGCUCAACUGGGGA